AAGACAGGUUAGCCUAACCGCAAGGAGGGCGCCUACCACGGUGAGAUUCAUGACUGGGGUG
rnacentral:rRNA from 1 species